GACGAACGCUGGCGGCGUGCUUAACACAUGCAAGUCGAACGGACAGGCCCUGCUUUUGUUGGUUGCUCGAGUGGCGAACGGGUGAGUAACACGCGAGUAACCUGCCCUUGACUUUGGGAUAUAUUCAGGAAACUGGGGCUAAUAACGGAUAGGAGCUCCUGCUGCACGGUGGGGGUUGGAAAGUUUCGGCGGUUGGGGAUGGACUCGCGGCUUAUCAGCUUGUUGGGGGGGUAGUGACUUACCAAGCGUUUGACGGGUAGCCGGCCUGAGAGGGUGACCAGCCACAUUGGGACUGAGAUACGGCCCAGACGGCUACUGGAGGCAGUAGUGGCGAAUAUUGCGCAAUGAGCGGAAGCCUGAGGCAGCAACGCCGCGAGCGGGAUAACGGCAUACGGGUGGUAAACCGCUUUCGCAUGUGACGAAGCGUGAGUGACGGUAAUUAGUAAAGAAGCACCGGCUAACUACGUG
rnacentral:rRNA from 1 species